AUUGAACGCUGGCGGCAUGCUUUACACAUGCAAGUCGAGCGGCAGCGCGGGGGGCAACCUUGGCGGCGAGCGGCGAACGGGUGAGUAAUGCAUCGGAACGUAUCCUGUAGUGGGGAAUAACUCACCGAAAGGUGAGCUAAUACCGCAUAAGCUCUGAGGAGGAAAGCGGGGGACCGAAAGGCCUCGCGCUGCAGGAGCGGCCGAUGUCCGAUUAGCUAGUUGGUGAGGUAAAGGCUCACCAAGGCGACGAUCGGUAGCUGGUCUGAGAGGAUGAUCAGCCACACUGGACUGAGACACGGCCCAGACUCCUACGGGAGGCAGCAGUGGGGAAUUUUGGACAAUGGGGGAAACCCUGAUCCAGCCAUGCCGCGUGAGUGAAGAAGGCCUUC
rnacentral:rRNA from 1 species